CUCCUACGGGAGGCAGCAGUAAAGAAUCUUUCACAAUGGGGGAAACCCUGAUGAAGCAACACCGCGUGGAGGAUGAAGGCGUUUUCGUUGUAAACUCCUUUUCUGAAGGAAUAACUUUGAAGGUACUUCAGGAAUAAGCAACGGCUAACUACGUGCCAGCAGCCGCGGUAAUACGUAGGUUGCAAGCGUUAUCCGGAAUUAUUGGGCGUAAAGCGUACGCAGGCGGUUUGUUAAGUUGGAUGUUAAAGCUUUGAGCUCAACUCAAAACAGGUGUCCAAUACUGGCAAGCUGGAGAUAGGCAGAGGUAAGUGGAAUUCUGUAUGUAGGGGUAAUAUCCGUAGAUAUACAGAGGAACACCAAAAGCGAAGGCAGCUUACUGGGCCUUUUCUGACGCUCAUGUACGAAAGCGUGGGGAGCAAACGGGAUUAGAUACCCCGGUAGUCCACGCCCUAAACGAUGAACACUAGUUGUUGGGGGUCUCGACCCCUUCAGCGACGAAGCUAACGCAUUAAG
rnacentral:rRNA from 1 species